GGUGGUGGCUCAGUGGUAGAGUGUGUGCUUAGCAUACACAAGGCCUAGGUUCAAUUCUAGCCCCA
rnacentral:tRNA from 1 species